rnacentral:lncRNA from 1 species
AUGGAGCCGACACGAGGCACUGAGUCACGGCAGCCCCCGCGUCACACGGCGCUAUCAGCUGCAGCGGGGUCAAGUGACCGCACAUCGGGACAUGAAAGCGCUGCGGAAAUGCCGGCAGCCGGAGCUGCUGAGCCGCACUUCCCCGUCCGCUCGCUCGGAGCCCGUUCCCGUCCACUCGCCCGCCUGGAGCAGCAGCGCACCCGCCCGGCCGCACCGCACCGCACCGCAUCGCACCCGCCGGGUCGCGCUGCCGCCGCCGGGGGGCACUGCGCCGCCGCCCGUAUCUCCCGCAGCCGGGAGGCGCAGGUCAGGCAGGUGGUGAUGCUUCACGCUGUUAUUCCAACAGAUAAAUGCGUGUCACCGCUCUUACAAAAGCAGCCGGUGGGGCGGCUCCCGUUUUCAGCUGCCGGCUGUCCGCAGACUCCUGUCUGCCUCGGAAAUGCUGCUGCCCACCUUCCCGAGCCCGGCUCCAGCUGCACACCCGCCAGCAGCGCUCAGCCAUCUCCACCUGCCCCCAGGCUUCGUGCUGGCACAAACUCACCUCACUGCUGCCAGCCUCAUGACUUUUCCACUUGCAGCUCCAGGCACUCGAUCCAGCCUGCCCUCACCAGCUGCGUGCUGCCCAUCUGGUUGCAAAGAGGGCACAGCAAAGGCAAACGUGUGCGUGUGCAGCCAGACAAGUGGCCUCCGUGGGAGCGUGGUGCCCCCAGGUGCUGCCAGUGUCAGGGUCAGGCUUCUCCCUGGGGCUGGGCUGCCCGCUGGGGCUCCUCGUCCCCCAGCACACUCAGGAGCGGGAUGCUGCUGCCAUCAGCUCUGGAGCAUGGAGGGGUGGUCACUUUGGAAGGUCACACAUCCUCUCUAUGGCCAGUCUGCUGGUCUGUGGCUGACAAAAGCUGGAUGGAUCAAAUCUCUUCCAACAGAUCUGCAUUAAAAAUGAAGUGCUGGUGCUUGACAGUCCCGCCAGAACUGAUGCAGGCUGCUGAGAGCCCUGGUUGCCUCAUAAACAGCAUCUUCCUACGUUGUCAGAGCAGCUUCUCCUCUAUGGGAAUAAAUAAGCGGUUACUUGAAUGA